rnacentral:rRNA from 1 species
CAGUCGCCACGGGAAUACAGAGGGUGCGAGCGUUAAUCGGAUUUACUGGGCGUAAAGCGUGCGUAGGCGGCUUUUUAAGUCGGAUGUGAAAUCCCUGAGCUUAACUUAGAAAUUGCAUUCGAUACUGGGAAGCUAGAGUAUGGGAGAGGAUGGUAGAAUUCCAGGUGUAGCGGUGAAAUGCGUAGAGAUCUGGAGGAAUACCGAUGGCGAAGGCAGCCAUCUGGCCUAAUACUGACGCUGAGGUGCGAAAGCAUGGGGAGCAAACAGGAUUAGAUACCCCGGUAGUCCCUGUCUCUUAUAC